rnacentral:rRNA from 1 species
GAACAAGGGCGCAUGGGGGAUGCCUUGGCUCUCGGAGGCGAAGAAGGACGUGACAAGCUGCGAAAAGCUGCGGCGAGUGGCAAAUACACCGUGACCCGCAGAUAUCCGAAUGGGGCAACCCGUAGGGAGCGAUCCCUACAUCAGUGUAACACUGAGGCGAACGUGGGGAACUGAAACAUCUUAGUACCCGCAGGAAGAGAAAGUAACAACGAUUCUCCCAGUAGCGGCGAGCGAACGGGGAAGAGCCCAAACCGGCGGCGUUUCGGCGCGUGCCGGGGUUAUAGGACCGCUCAAAGGCGCAUGCGAGCGUAGCGGAAGGAGAUGGAAUGCUCCCCCGCAGACGGUGAGAGGCCGGUACGCGAAACGCAGACAUGCCAGGAGCGGCACCUGAGUAGGGCGGGACACGAGAAAUCCCGUCUGAAUUAUCGGGGACCAUCCCGAAAGGCUAAAUACUACCGAGAGACCGAUAGCGAACCAGUACCGUGAGGGAAAGGUGAAAAGCACCUCGGACAGAGGAGUGAAAAAGACCCUGAAACCAUGCGCCUACAAGCGGUCGGAGCCACUAUGUGUGGUGACGGCGUGCCUUUUGCAUAAUGAACCUGCGAGUUGCCGUCGGCGGCAAGGCUAAGGGCUUCAGGUCCGGAGCCGGAGCGAAAGCGAGUCCGAACAGGGCGUAAAGUCGCCGGAGGCAGACGCGAAACCGAGUGAUCUACGCAUGGGCAGGAUGAAGACGUGGUAACACACGUUGGAGGUCCGAACCGGUAAGCGUUGAAAAGCUUUCGGAUGACCUGUGCGUAGGAGUGAAAGGCCAAUCAAACUCGGAGAUAGCUCGUACUCCCCGAAAUGCAUUUAGGUGCAGCCUCGGGACUAUGCCGCGGAGGUAGAGCGACCGAUAGGAUGCGAGGGCUUCGCCGCCUGUCAAGUCCUGACGAACUCCGAAUGCCGCGGCACGAAUUCCGGGAGUGAGGGCGCGGGUGCUAAGGUCCGCGUCCGAAAGAGGAACAACUCAGACCAUCGUCUAAGGCCCCGAAAUCCGGGCUGAGUUGAAGGCAAUAACGAGGUGGGGCCGCACAGACAGCCGGGAUGUUGGCUUGGAAGCAGCCAUUCAUUUAAAGAGUGCGUAACAGCUCACCGGUCAAGCGGCCCCGCGUGGAUAAUAAUCGGGCAUAAGUCCGGUGCCGAAGACGUGGGAUUAAUAAAUAAUUAAUCGGUAGGGGAGCAUUCCAUCGGCGGUGAAGGUCGGACGCGAGUCCGGGUGGAGCUUAUGGAAAAGCAAAUGCAGGUAUAAGUAACGACAAAGGGGAUGAGAAAUCCCCUCGCCGAAAGACCAAGGGUUCCUGAACAACGCUAAUCGGUUCAGGGUAAGUCGGGACCUAAGGCCACCCCGUCAGGGCAUGGUCGAUGGACAUGCGGUCAAUAUUCCGCAACCCGUGUAUGUGGAAUCCCAGCGGAGACGGAGAAGCGAAACGCACGCGUGCUGACGGAAUAGCACGUUGAAGGAAAACAGCCAUAAGGUACGGCGGAAACGUACCUGGCGAAAUCCGACAGUACACGAGCCGCAUGCGGUGAGUGACAGUUGCGGAGGAGCAGGCUCCCGAGAAAAUCCGCGCGGGGUGUUCGACACAUAUUCGGCCCGUACCGGAAACCGACACAGGUGGUCGGGUAGAAAAUACCGAGGCGCUCGAGAGAUUCACGGUCAAGGAACUAGGCAAACUGACCCCGUAACUUCGGGAUAAGGGGUCCUCCCCCCUCAACAAGGGGAGGCGCAGAGAAUAGGUCCAGGCAACUGUUUAGCAAAAACACAGGGCUGUGCGAAGCCGCAAGGCGCAGUAUACAGUCUGACACCUGCCCGGUGCCGGAAGGUUAAGCGGAGCUGUCAGAGCAAUCGAAGCAGUGAAGUGAAGCCCCGGUAAACGGCGGCCGUAACUAUAACGGUCCUAAGGUAGCGAAAUUCCUUGUCGGGU